rnacentral:rRNA from 1 species
AGAGAGAGACAUGCGCGCAUAUCAAUAAGCGGAGGAAAAGAAACUAACAUAGGAUUCCCUCAGUAACGGCGAGUGAAGCGGGAAGAGCUCAAAUUUGAAAUCUCCAAGGGUUCUACCUUUACGAAUUGUAGUUUAAAGAAGUGUUUUCUGUUGAGGUUUUGGUAAAAGUUCUUUGGAAUAGGACAUCAUAGAGGGUGAGAAUCCCGUAUUUGACCAUUACUUUCAACUGUGUGAUACACUUUCAAAGAGUCGGAUUGUUUGGGAAUGCAGUCCAAAAUGGGUGGUAAAUUUCAUCUAAAGCUAAAUAUUGGCGAGAGACCGAUAGCGAACAAGUACCGUGAGGGAAAGAUGAAAAGAACUUUGAAAAGAGAGUUAAACAGUACGUGAAAUUGUCAAAAGGGAAGCGUUUGACACCAGUGUUGUUUUCUCGAAAAUCAAUUAAAAAGGCUAGAUUUUGUGUUGUAUUGACCUUUAAUCAGCUUCUGCACUUCAAUUUUCUUGUCUUUUUUAAUGCACUUUUCGUUUAACAAGUCAACAUCCAGUUUCUUUUGUUGUAAAAGGGUCAUUGGAAGGUGGCUUUCUUUUCGGAGAAAGUGUUUAUAGCCUUUGCCUCUGCAAUCGGAGAGAUUGAGGUCUGCAGCGUAGAUCCUUCGGGGUUAGAUACAUUUGUGCUAAGUUAUAGCUUUUUAUAGACAACUUGUUGACUAUGAUUAGUCUUGUAGCUUACUCGCUUAUGUUAUUUUACCUACGCUUAGGAUGUUGAUGUGAUACUGCGAGC